AACGCUAGCUACAGGCUUAACACAUGCAAGUCGAGGGGCAGCAUAAAAGUAGCAAUACUUUGGUGGCGACCGGCGCACGGGUGAGUAACGCGUAUGCAACCUACCUAUCAGAGGGGAAUAACCCGGCGAAAGUCGGACUAAUACCGCAUAAAACAGGGGCACCGCAUGGUGAUAUUUGUUAAAGAAAUUCGCUGAUAGAUGGGCAUGCGUUCCAUUAGGUAGUUGGUGAGGUAACGGCUCACCAAGCCGACGAUGGAUAGGGGAACUGAGAGGUUGGUCCCCCACACUGGUACUGAGACACGGACCAGACUCCUACGGGAGGCAGCAGUGAGGAAUAUUGGUCAAUGGGCGGGAGCCUGAACCAGCCAAGUCGCGUGAAGGAAGAAGGAUCUAUGGUUCGUAAACUUCUUUUGCAGGGGAAUAAAGUGCGGGACGUGUCCUGUUUUGUAUGUACCCUGAGAAUAAGGAUCGGCUAACUCCGUGCCAGCAGCCGCGGUAAUACGGAGGAUCCGAGCGUUAUCCGGAUUUAUUGGGUUUAAAGGGUGCGUAGGUGGUUUGAUAAGUCAGCGGUGAAAGUUUGCAGCUUAACUGUAAAGAUGCCGUUGAAACUGUCGGACUUGAGUGUAAAUGAGGUAGGCGGAAUGCGUGGUGUAGCGGUGAAAUGCAUAGAUAUCACGAAGAACUCCGAU
rnacentral:rRNA from 1 species